CCUACGGGUGGCAGCAGUAGGGAAUCUUUCACAAUGGGCGAAAGCCUGAUGGAGCAACGCCGCGUGCAGGAUGAAGGCCUUCGGGUUGUAAACUGCUUUUAUAAGCGAGAAAUAUGAUGGUAACUUAUGAAUAAGGAUCGGCUAACUACGUGCCAGCAGCCGCGGUCAUACGUAGGAUCCGAGCAUUAUCCGGAGUGACUGGGUGUAAAGAGUUGCGUAGGUGGCAUAGUAAGUAGCUAGUGAAAACUGGUGGCUCAACCAUUCAGACUAUUAGCUAAACUGCUAAGCUCGAGACCGUUAGGGGUAACUGGAAUUUCUAGUGUAGUGGUGAAAUGCGUAGAGAUUAGAAGGAACACCGAUAGCGUAGGCAGGUUACUGGGACGGUUCUGACACUAAGGCACGAAAGCGUAGGGAGCAAACGGGAUUAGAUACCCCGGUAGUC
rnacentral:rRNA from 1 species